CAGUAGCCGCGGGAAUACGAAGGGUGCAAGCGUUAAUCGGAAUUACUGGGCGUAAAGCGUGCGUAGGCGGUGAGUUAAGUCUGCUGUGAAAUCCCCGGGCUCAACCCCGGAACUGCAUCCGAUACUGCCAUGCUAGAGGAUUGGAGAGGUAGCUGGAAUUCUUGGUGUAGCAGUGAAAUGCGUGGAGAUCAAGAGGAACACUCGUGGCGAAAGCGAGCUACUGGACAAUAACUGACGCUGAGGCUCGAAGGCCAGGGUAGCGAAAGGGAUUAGAUACCCCAGUAGUCCCUGUCUCUUAUAC
rnacentral:rRNA from 1 species